rnacentral:rRNA from 1 species
AUUGAACGCUGGCGGCAUGCCUUACACAUGCAAGUCGAACGGUAACGCGGGGCAACCUGGCGACGAGUGGCGAACGGGUGAGUAAUAUAUCGGAACGUGCCCAGUAGUGGGGGAUAGCCCGGCGAAAGCCGGAUUAAUACCGCAUGAGACCUGAGGGUGAAAGCGGGGGAUCGCAAGACCUCGCGCUAUUGGAGCGGCCGAUAUCAGAUUAGCUAGUUGGUGGGGUAAAGGCCUACCAAGGCAACGAUCUGUAGUUGGUCUGAGAGGACGACCAGCCACACUGGGACUGAGACACGGCCCAGACUCCUACGGGAGGCAGCAGUGGGGAAUUUUGGACAAUGGGCGCAAGCCUGAUCCAGCAAUGCCGCGUGCAGGAAGAAGGCCUUCGGGUUGUAAACUGCUUUUGUCAGGGAAGAAAUCCUCUGGGUUAAUACCUCGGGGGGAUGACGGUACCUGAAGAAUAAGCACCGGCUAACUACGUGCCAGCAGCCGCGGUAAUACGUAGGGUGCGAGCGUUAAUCGGAAUUACUGGGCGUAAAGCGUGCGCAGGCGGCUUUGCAAGACAGAUGUGAAAUCCCCGGGCUCAACCUGGGAACUGCAUUUGUGACUGCAAGGCUAGAGUACGGUAGAGGGGGAUGGAAUUCCGCGUGUAGCAGUGAAAUGCGUAGAUAUGCGGAGGAACACCAAUGGCGAAGGCA